AUUAAUGCAAGUCCUGACUCUCCUGUACCUUUGCUGCUACCAUCUGGAAGGUGGUACAUGAGCCUCAGGACAAACACCACCAGAUUCAGAAACAGUUAUCACCCCUCAACCAUCAGGGUCCUGGACCAGAGAGAGUAACUUUACUCAACUUCACUUGCCCCAUCAUUGAAAUGUUUCCACAACCUAAGGACUCAUUUUCAAGGACUUCACCUCAUGUACUUGAUAUUUAUUGCUUAUUUAUUAUCAUCUUUUUGUAUUUGCACAGUCCGUUGUCCUUUGCACACUGGUUGAACGCACAGUUGGUGCAGCCAACUGAUUCUAUUAUGGUUAUUAUUUCAUUAUGGAUUUAUUGAGCAUGCCCCCAAGAAAAUGAAUCUCAGGGUUAUAUAUGGUGACAUAUAUGUACUUUGAUAAUAAAUUUACCUUGAACUUUAAAAUACUAUUUAUCACAGACUAUCAAUAACACAUUGUCUUGUUGGCAGUUUGUGAUAGAAAAAUAAUUUAACAAUGAGAGAUGCUGAAGUUUUGAGAGUUCAAGCUUUAAGCUGUUUCAAGUUGUUCUUUAGGAAAACUCACUCAAAAGGAGAGGGAGGGACCUUUACUACUGAUCUCUAGAGACGCAUGGAAAUGAGGUACAUCCUUAAAAGCCAAUUAAGUCAUCUAAAAUUUAGAAGCAUUUUAGAAUCCCUACACAAGGGAUUAUGUAGCUCUAUUCCCACCCCCAAAAGAUCACAUAAUUUUAAAUUUCUGUCCAAUUAAAAUUUUCAACAUGAUUCCUUUACUUCCCCAUAUUUUGUACAUCAAUAAAACAAAAUGGGUAUAUCAACCCAAGAAUCUAUUAUCUAAGAUCUACAUUUGAUUCUACAGUAAAAUUGACAAACAUUAUUUGAUUACACAACUCAAAUCUUCACUUAGCCCUCAAUAAAAUAAGAACACUCAGAGCAAUAAACCAACCACACAUGCCACUUCACGCCUCAUACAGAUUUAAUGCCAGCAUAAGAUUAAAAUCUCUGUUUCUUUUAACGAUUUCUAAACGUUCUCAGAUUUACAUUCUUUCCCACAACCACCUCCAGGCUCAAAACAAUUGAACCUGCAUAUUGAUGAAGGUUUACUGAUGUCAUGCACAGGUUAAUGGGAGACAACAGAAUGCAAGCUCUUUUGUACUUAACAGACCGCAGUUUCAAAAAAUCAACUUUUAAAUAAAACACGGUGAAAAUCUGCGGUGACACCAUUUAAAAGAUUGCAUCUGCUGUGAAUUCAGAGAACCAUGGAAUUAAUCAUGGAGAAACUGGACGCAUCAAGUAAUCAACAAAACAAAUUAAGAGAUCAAAAAGUCACAAAGGAAAUGGAACAAGACAUAGAAUUCACAAAAGUGUAUAAUAAUGAAGAUGGAAGAGCUAUUGUUUCAGGGGAAGGAAAGCAGAAACUUAACAGGCCAAGAUGGCAUGCUUAAACCACAUACUUCCUCCACGGUCUAGCUGCAAAACAUUACAGCUAAUUUCAGUUCCUAACAUCCAUUUGUCAUAGAAAGUGUGUGCAUCAUUCGUGCCAUGAAAUACAUUCCAACCAUAGCACUGUAGAACUGCACCUUGGAAUAAGCUACAUCUCAAGCCAGGUUGUUCCUGUACAGCAAAAACACUGGCAUUUACCCAAGCAUUUGUAGAAUUGCCUGUUCACAAAAAGCAGAACAAUUGAAUCCAGCAAAUCAAUCUACUCCCCAUCAGCAGCAAAGUAAUGGAACCUAUCAUUGACAUUGCUAUCAAACAACAUUUACUCACCAUUAACCAACUACCAAUGUCUAGUUUGGAUUUCAUCAGGAUUAGUCAGGUCCAGACUCCAGACAUCACCACAGUCUUAGUCCAACCAUGGACCACAGCUGAAUUCUAAAGGUGGGAUGCCAGCAAUUGCUCUUGACACCAAUGGAACUGGUGAUUAAGUGCAGAAGUCAAAGUCAAAGUAAAUUUAUUAUCAAAGUAUGUCUAUGUCACUAUAUACUUACUACCUUAAGAUUCAUUUUCUCACAUGAACAUAGAGAAAGACAAUGGAAUUGCUGAUAAAUUAUAAAUAACAAAGACUGGCAAACAGCCAACAUACAAAAGAAGACAAAUCAUGCAAAUAAUUUGAAAAAGUAAAUAAAUAAUACUACGAACACGAGUUGCAGAGACCUUGAAAGUGAAUGUAUAGGUUGUGGAGUCAGUUCAGCAUCAAGCGUAUCCCCCUCCUCUUCCCUCCCGAGAAUCGCCCCCUGUUGACCAUGGUAUCAAUCACAAAGACUCUUGUUCAGCAGCCGGCUCUCCAUCCAUCGCCGAGAAGGUCAGAGGGAUUUCACCGAAUUCACUCCCGGACUUUUUGACCGAUCACUGGGGGAAAUAAACGAAAACCAAGAAAUAAUGAGCACCUCGAUAGCCGGGUUCCGUGAGCGCGCAUGUUUUAAGAGGCGGGAGGAGAGAGAAGCAGCGCGCCGCGCGUGUGCAGCCCUCCGGUGAAAAAUGAUAUCGACUCCGUUAAAUAGGGGCCGUGGACAAUUCUGAUUUGAUGGAGAUGGACGUGAAAGCACAGGGGAACAUCUGGAAAAAUUUCUGUAACACUCGUUCGCUGCUGUCGUUACUGCGCGGUCCGGAAUCUUUCGGAGGGUAGGCCUCAAAAUCCCCGGCUUUACCUGCUGUUGGCAACUGAGAUGGAGGUCGAAUCAUUCAGAUAGAAAUGGCGCUCAGUACUCAGUGUCGGAGGGCUGAUCAGAGCUUGAAGUUUUCGGAUGACUCAGAGUCGGACCGUGGUCGGGUGUGGCAGGGAGAGUUUUUCUUCCUUCUCCCGUCUGCGUGAGAUGUGGGACAUUUGAGAGACUUUGAACUUUUACUGUGCUCAUGGACUUCUUCAUCAAGUUAUGGUAUUGUUGCACUGUUGUAACUAUAUGUUAUAAUUAUGUGGUUUUGUUAGUUUUUUUCAAUCUUGGUCUGUCCUGUGUUUUGU